rnacentral:rRNA from 1 species
UACGAAGGGGGCUAGCGUUGCUCGGAAUUACUGGGCGUAAAGGGCGCGUAGGCGGAUAGUUUAGUCAGAGGUGAAAGCCCAGGGCUCAACCCUGGAAUUGCCUUUGAUACUGGCUAUCUUGAGUUCGGGAGAGGUGAGUGGAACUCCGAGUGUAGAGGUGAAAUGCGCAGAUAUCGGGAGGAACACCAAUGGCGAAGGCAGCUUGCUGGGACGGUACUGACGCUGAGGCGCGAAAAGCGGUGGG